rnacentral:rRNA from 1 species
CAGCAGCCACGGUAAUACGAAGGGUGCAAGCGUUACUCGGAAUUACUGGGCGUAAAGCGCGCGUAGGCGGUUACUCAAGUCAGAGGUGAAAGCCCGGAGCUCAACCCCGGAAUUGCCUUUAAGACUGCCGAGCUAGUAGGUGAGAGAGGUAAGUGGAAUUCCGAGUGUAGAGGUGAAAUUCGUAGAUAUUCGGAAGAACACCAGUGGCGAAGGCGGCUUACUGGCUCAUUCUAGACGCUGAGGUGCGAAAGCGUGGGGAGCAAACAGGAUUAGAUACCCCUGUAGUCCCUGUCUCUUAUAC